AGUGGUUAAGCAUUUGGCUGCUAAUCAAAAGGUCGGCAGUUCAAAUCCACCAACCACUC
rnacentral:tRNA from 1 species